rnacentral:rRNA from 1 species
UACGUAGGGGGCAAGCGUUGUCCGGAUUAUUGGCGUAAGAGCGUGUAGGCGGCCAGGUAGGUCUGCUGUGAAACUCGAGGCUCAACCUCGAGAUGUCGGCGGAAACCAUCUGGCUAGAGUCCGGAAGAGGGAGAGUGGAAUUCCGUGGAUGUAGCGGUGAAAUGCGCAGAUAUCAGGAAGAACACCCGUGGCGAAGGCGGCUCUCGUGGGACGG